rnacentral:misc_RNA from 1 species
GAUGAAGAACGUAGCGAAAUGCGAUAAGUAGUGUGAAUUGCAGAAUUCAGUGAAUCAUCGAAUCUUUGAACGCACAUUGCGCCCUAUGGUAUUCCGUAGGGCAUGCCUGUUCGAGCGUCAUUCAAACCUUCAAGCUCUGCUUGGUGUUGGGCGUCUGUCCUGCCUCACGGCGCGGACUCGCCUCAAAUCUAUCGGCGGCCGGCACGUUGGCUUCGAGCGCAGCAGAAACGCGAACUCGAGACCGGCGGAUCGGCUCCCAGAAGCUACCCCCAUGAAUUUGACCUCGGAUCAGGUAGGGAUACCCGCUGAACUUAAGCAUAUCAAUAAGCGGAGGA